rnacentral:rRNA from 1 species
GCGGUGGAGCUAUGUGGUUUAAUUCGACGACAACGCGAAAGAACCCUUUAACCAGGGUCUUGACACUCCCCUGACCGCGUAUGAAAGUACGUUUUCACCCUCGGGUGACAGGGAGACAGGUGGUGCAUGGUUGUCGUCAGCUCGUGUCGUGAGAUGUUGGGUUAAGUCCCGCAACGAGCGCAACCCCUACGUUUAGUUGCUAACGCGUGAAGGCGAGCACUCUAGACGAACUGCCGUUGACAAACGGAGGAAGUGGGGAUGACGUCAAAUCAUCAUGCCCCUUAUGUUCUGGGCUACACACGUGCUACAAUGGCCGGUACAGGCGGACGCAAAGCCGCGAGGUGGAGCAAAUCCUAAAAAGCCGGUCUCAGUUCGGAUUGCAGGCUGCAAUUCGCCUGCAUGAAGUCGGAAUCGCUAGUAAUCGCAGGUCAGCAUACUGCGGUGAAUACGUUCCCGGGCCUU